rnacentral:lncRNA from 1 species
CAGCAAUAGAAGUGCCCUGGUCUUUGCCAGAACCAAACAGUGGUCACAGCUAGGACCUGCACCGGGGGUCCUGAAUCCACCUUGCCCGGUGCCCAGAUGCCCCUCCUGCUCUCUGGAUGGAGCCCACCCUCAACAAGCACUCCGGCAGGACCAGGUUCCAUGAAGACAAUGCCACUUGGAAUCUGAUAACAAUUGCGGGUCCAGAUGACUCUCGUGGGCAGCAUCCUCCAUGUGGACUCAGCCAUCCAGGUGGCCUCUAUCCUGCAGUGUCCACCUCACAGCUCUGGCACCAUCAUGGUGCAGGUA